rnacentral:tRNA from 1 species
GCCUGGAUAGCUCAGUGGGUUAAGCACCUGACUCUUGGUUUCUGCUCAAGUCAUGAUCUCAGGGUUGGUGAGUUCAAGCCCCACAUCAGGCU